UACGAAGGGGGCGAGCGUUGUUCGGAUUUACUGGGCGUAAAGGGCGCGCAGGCGGCUCAUUUUGUCAGGCGUGAAAGCCCCGGGCUUAACCUGGGAACUGCGUUUGAUACGGAUGGGCUAGAGUUCGGGAGAGGAGAGUGGAAUUCCCAGUGUAGAGGUGAAAUUCGUAGAUAUUCGCAAGAACACCAGUGGCGAAGGCGGCUCACUGGCCCGGUACUGACGCUGAGGUGCGAAAGCGUGGGGAGCAAACAGG
rnacentral:rRNA from 1 species